AUUGAACGCUGGCGGCAGGCCUAACACAUGCAAGUCGAGCGGAUGAAGGGAGCUUGCUCCUGGAUUCAGCGGCGGACGGGUGAGUAAUGCCUAGGAAUCUGCCUGGUAGUGGGGGAUAACGUCCGGAAACGGGCGCUAAUACCGCAUACGUCCUGAGGGAGAAAGUGGGGGAUCUUCGGACCUCACGCUAUCAGAUGAGCCUAGGUCGGAUUAGCUAGUUGGUGGGGUAAAGGCCUACCAAGGCGACGAUCCGUAGCUGGUCUGAGAGGAUGAUCAGUCACACUGGAACUGAGACACGGUCCAGACUCCUACGGGAGGCAGCAGUGGGGAAUAUUGGACAAUGGGCGAAAGCCUGAUCCAGCCAUGCCGCGUGUGUGAAGAAGGUCUUCGGAUUGUAAAGCCCUUUAAGUUGGGAGGAAGGGCAGUAAGUUAAUACCUUGCUGUUUUGACGUUACCAACAGAAUAAGCACCGGCUAACUUCGUG
rnacentral:rRNA from 1 species